rnacentral:rRNA from 1 species
GAUGAACGCUAGCUACAGGCUUAACACAUGCAAGGUCGAGGGGAAACGACAUCGAAAGCUUGCUUUUGAUGGGCGUCGACCGGCGCACGGGUGAGUAACGCGUAUCCAACCUGCCCACCACUUGGGGAUAACCUUGCGAAAGUAAGACUAAUACCCAAUGAUAUCUCUAGAAGACAUCUGAAAGAGAUUAAAGAUUUAUCGGUGAUGGAUGGGGAUGCGUCUGAUUAGCUUGUUGGCGGGGUAACGGCCCACCAAGGCGACGAUCAGUAGGGGUUCUGAGAGGAAGGUCCCCCACAUUGGAACUGAGACACGGUCCAAACUCCUACGGGAGGCAGCAGUGAGGAAUAUUGGUCAAUGGGCGGAAGCCUGAACCAGCCAAGUAGCGUGAAGGACGACUGCCCUAUGGGUUGUAAACUUCUUUUAUGCGGGGAUAAAGUUCGCCACGUGUGGCGUUUUGCAGGUACCGCAUGAAUAAGGACCGGCUAAUUCCGUG